GCCCUCGGUGGCUCAGAUGGAUAAAAAAAAAGAUGGAUAGAGCGUCUGCCAUGUAAGCAGGAGGUCCCGGGUUCGAGUCCCGGUCGGGGCA